GAUUAGAGUUUGAUCCUGGCUCAGAGCGAACGCUGGCGGCAUGCCUAACACAUGCAAGUCGCACGCCCCGCAAGGGGAGUGGCGGACGGGUGCGUAACGCGUAGGGAUCUGUCCCGAGGUGGGGGRUAACCCUGGGAAACUAGUGGCUAAUACCGCAUGACACCUGAGUGGUCAAAGGCGCGAGUCGCCUUGGGAGGAACCUGCGUCCGAUUAGCUUGUUGGUGGGGUAACGGCCUACCAAGGCUGCGAUCGGUAGCUGGUCUGAGAGGAUGAUCAGCCACACUGGGACUGAGACACGGCCCAGACUCCUACRGGAGUGCAGCAGUGGGGAAUAUUGGACAAUGGGCGCAAGCCUGAUCCAGCAAUGCCGCGUGGGUGAAGAAGGUCUUCGGWUUGUAAAGCCCUUUCGGCGGGGACGAUGAUGACGGUACCCGCAGAAGAAGCCCCGGCUAACUUCGUGCCAGCAGCCGCGGUAAUACGAAGUGGGGCUAGCGUUGCUCGGAAUGACUGGGCGUAAAGGGCGCGUAGGCGGCGCACUUAGUCGGSSKKRAAAGUCCUGGUGGCUCAACCUGGGGGACGGCGCUCGAUACGUGGUGUGCUUGAGUGGGGGAAGA
rnacentral:rRNA from 1 species